CGGUGACUAUGGCGAAAGGGAUCCACCUGUUCCCAUGCCGAACACAGAAGUUAAGCCUUUCAGCGCCGAUGGUACUUGGUUGGAGACGACCUGGGAGAGUAGGACGUUGCCG
rnacentral:rRNA from 2 species